UCCGCCGCGAGGCGGAAUCCGAAGGAAGCCGGCGGCAAACCUCCGGCCCGAGGACCACGAACCCCAGGCGAGGCUAGCGGCAGCUGGAUGAGCUUGCAAAACAAAGCGAAGUCCUGGCCACCGAAGGCUGCCGAGAGUAGAUGGGGCGGGUAGAUGGAGGGAAAGACAGCGCC
rfam:Ammonifex degensii KC4, complete genome.